rnacentral:ncRNA from 2 species
GAACAGGGUCACGGCGAUGGUGCCCUUCUUGGAGGGCCUAAGAGGGAACGCGGUGAAACCCCGCGGCUGCCCCCGCAACUGUAAGCGGUGAGCGGACCUGCGUAUGCCACUGAGCCGACAAGCUCGGGAAGGCGCAGGCCCCGCCCUGACCCGCAAGCCAGGAGACCUGCCAUCACCUGUGAAACGCA